UAUGGCCAAUGAAGAAAAAAAAACAAGGUUGGCAAAAUUCUCACUUUAAUCUCAGAAUUCUGACUUUGUGACGUUCGUGGAGCUAUGAAUUGUGGGGGGACCGUCAGCGUGUGGCGUGGCUUGGAAUAAAGGACAUCAUGUCGUCACCCAGCAACUUUUUGCGUGGCCGAGGAGUGUCGGAGGACAUCCUUUCACUUUUGGAGGAGCAGAGGAUAAAGUGACUGAUGGAGGGUGCAACUCAAACAGUGUCUGGAAAUCCAGAUUUGGAUGACUUGAUCAAGCUAUGCUUUAGACUUGGAUUCAGCAAUAAGGAAAUACUUGCAAUUUUAGCACAUAAUGCUCAAACUAUUUUAAGUAUUAAGACUCUUAAAAGGAUAUGCAAAAGACUUGGUCUUUUUCAAAGAAAGAACCAGUCAGACCUGGGAGACGUGUUGGCUUUUGUCCAGCAUGAGAUCCUGACUAGUGGACAGAUGCAAGGUUAUCGCUGGCUUCAUCUGCGUGCCAUUCAAAAAGGAUUUGUUGUGUCACAAGAUACAAUAAGACAAAUUAUAAAAUUGGUUGACCCUGUAGGCGUGG